rnacentral:lncRNA from 1 species
GUCAUCUAUUGGUGUUUAUAUUAGAUAAACAGGUUUGUGUUUUAAAUAUAUAAAAUUUUGGAUGGGUCAAUAUUUGUCGCAUUGCGUAAAUAUAUAUUGAGUAGGAUAUUUGUUAUGUAAAUAGCACGGGAUUUUUAAAGCGCGAAUAGUUGUCUUGUUCAAGUAAUUUAAGAUAUAUUGUCAUUCGAAGCACGUAUACCGUUCAGUAGGGCAGCUUAGUUUAGGCAAAGACCACCCCCCCCCCCCCCCCCCCCCCCCCCAGGAUUUAGAUGCUUGUAUAUUUGAAAUGUUUUCACGCAUAGAUAUAGAUAGAUAUUUAUACUAUCAGUAGGGCAGUGUUUAUUUCAUUUUUAAGAUAUAUAUGUAUAUAUGAUUUCUGAUUUUGUUUUUCUAUUUUGUAGGCUGUCGUGUACUACGCAGCGGUGUUGCCGAUAUCAUGACAUUGGAACUCAAUAUUUUGAUUUAAUAAAAUAUAACAGUAAGCUGCACAUGCUGGCGAGCUAUUUCUAUGAAACAAGUGUUUGUUUUUAUUUUAUAAAUACUUUAUAUACGUUUGAGGUGACGAAUUAGAAUAUAU